rnacentral:antisense_RNA from 1 species
CUUCACCGAACCGAGCAGCAGCGGCCGUUCGCGGUGCUUGCCGUAGGUGGCCAGCAGCGCCUGCGCCUC